CCUACGGGAGGCAGCAGUGGGGAAUAUUGGGCAAUGGGCGCAAGCCUGACCCAGCAACGCCGCGUGAAGGAAGAAGGCGUUCGGGUUGUAAACUUCUUUUCUCAGGGACGAAGCAAGUGACGGUACCUGCGGAAUAAGCCACGGCUAACUACGUGCCAGCAGCCGCGGUAAUACGUAGGUGGCAAGCGUGAUCCGGAUUUACUGGGUGUAAAGGUCGGUUAGGAGGGGACGCAAGUCAGAUGUGAAAACCACGGGCUCAACCUGUGGCCUGCAUUUGAAACUGUGUUGCUUGAGUACUGGAGAGGCAGACGGAAUUCCUAGUGUAGCGGUGAAAUGCGUAGAUAUUAGGAGGAACACCAGUGGCGAAGGCGGUCUGCUGGACAGCAACUGACGCUGAGGCGCGAAAGCGUGGGGAGCAAACAGGAUUAGAUACCCCUGUAGUC
rnacentral:rRNA from 1 species